GAUGCAGCUUAGUGGUAGAGCCCUUGCCUAGCAUGCACAAGGCCCUGGGUUUGAGCCCCAGGAACG
rnacentral:tRNA from 1 species